UAAGGGCGCACGGUGGAUGCCUUGGCACUAGAAGCCGAUGAAGGACGUUACUAACGACGAUAUGCUUUGGGGAGCUGUAAGUAAGCUUUGAUCCAGAGAUUUCCGAAUGGGGAAACCCAGCAUGAGUUAUGUCAUGUUAUCGAUAUGUGAAUACAUAGCAUAUCAGAAGGCACACCCGGAGAACUGAAACAUCUUAGUACCCGGAGGAAGAGAAAGAAAAUUCGAUUCCCUUAGUAGCGGCGAGCGAAACGGGAAGAGCCCAAACCAACAAGCUUGCUUGUUGGGGUUGUAGGACACUCUAUACGGAGUUACAAAGGACGACAUUAGACGAAUCAUCUGGAAAGAUGAAUCAAAGAAGGUAAUAAUCCUGUAGUCGAAAAUGUUGUCUCUCUUGAGUGGAUCCUGAG
rnacentral:rRNA from 1 species